CACGUAGGAGACAAGCGUUAUUCGGAUUUACUGGGCGUAAAGCGCGUGCAGGCGGUUCGGUAAGUUGGAUGUGAAAGCUCCUGGCUUAACUGGGAGAGGUCGUUCAAUACUACCGGACUAGAGGAUGGGAGAGGGAGGUGGAAUUCCGGGUGUAGUGGUGGAAUGCGUAGAUAUCCGGAGGAACACCAGUGGCGAAAGCGGCCUCCUGGCCCAUUUCUGACGCUCAGACGCGAAAGCUAGGGUAGCAAACGGG
rnacentral:rRNA from 1 species